CGGGUUGGUCAGAUGAUCGCGGUGUGACGUGGUUCAUACCGAGGAAAGUCCGCACUCCUUAGAGCAAGAUGCCGGAUAACGUCCGGGGCGGGGCAACCUGCCGGAACAGGGCCACAGAAAAAAGAUCGCUUCGCGGAAGCGGAGUCAGAGUGAAAAGGUAGUGUAAGAGACUACCGGCGUGGAUGGCAACAUCGCGGCCAGGCAACCCCCAUCUGGAGCAAGGCCAAGCAGGAGCGAAGACUGUCGCGUACAGGCGAGGAUCUGCUCGAUCCCCAUAUAAGCUCCGGGUAGGCUGCUAGAGUCGUGCAGUAAUGUACGUCCCAGAGAGAUGGUCAUCUCAGCGGGAGAACUCGAGGUCUCCUCUGAACAGAAUGCGGCUUAUAGAUCAACCCGCUUU
rfam:Anaerolineaceae bacterium oral taxon 439 strain W11661, complete genome.